UCUUAUCCUUUCCUUCCUCAUUUUCCAAAUCAAGUUUAGAUAAGAAAAUAGAGUACGCUCUGAAGCCUCCUCCAACAGAAGGUGCUGCAUGCCGUCUCUGCGGGCCACCAAGGCACUAAUCUUCUGCAUCAUCUCCACCCUGCCGCCACACCAUGGUUAGGCUUAACGCCGCCAGCCUUUCAGAUUUUGCUAUUCAGGAAGCCUAUUGAGGCAGCUCAGGCAAUAGAGAAGAUCCUUCAUACUAUCAAGAAGAAAGCUACCCUGUGGGUGCAGAUGGGCGCACAUCUGUCAAUGCUACAUCCAGUUUCUGGCUGCUUCACUCAAUGAUGGAUAGAAGCUAGACUAGAUGAGUAAAGUGAGAACUAGUGAAGAAUACAUGUUGACUUAAUCCUGACCGUUCCAGGUCUAGAGACAAAUGUGUGUAAGCUUGUAUUAGAUGGUUCACGAAUGUUGUACUGUGAGCUGUCAAAACAGAGUGUUGUGCUGUAAGUUCUAGUAGCACACGUUUAAGCUAAUGGAGAGUGUUCUUAAUGGUUCCUUGUUCUCUAAAAGGAACCUUAUGUUUCUUGUAAAAAAAUUUAAGCCUUUGUAAAAGGAGAAAAGUUGGAACAAAAGUUCUGCUGCUCUUCCAUGACAAAAACUCUCUGCCUUCUUCUCUGAUUGAUUCAAUACUAACACCUGGUCUUAGAGCCUGGUGCUAGUCUUAGUUCGCUUCAAUGACGCUCGUUCUUCAGCAAGGAGUGAAGGAUACCGGCAGUGUGUCAUAUCUGAUGUUGACGCCAUCCAACUACAUCACGUGGGUGAUCAAGGUGGAGGCAAUUUUGGAUGCCCAGGGAGUCUGGGAAGCCAUUGAAUCGGAGGCCGGUGUGGCCGUGGAGGUAAAGAAGGAUAAGAAGGCAAGGGCGUUUCCAGAGGAUGUUCUCCUCCAGGUGGCGAAGGCCUAUUAGGUGAAGAGAGGUCGUGGGUUUUAGUCCCAUUUUUUAGUAGAGAUAGAGGGAGACCAACCUAAAAAGAGUUGUGUUCUCCAUCCCACUAGCACAUGUGGAUGAGAGAACUAGAGAACGCUCACGAGUGCUAGCUCACCCUGCCUCGUCAGGCUGAGCUGUUGUUGUGGUUGGGGUGGGGGUGAAGGCGGCAGGCGCAUGACACCU